rnacentral:misc_RNA from 1 species
GUGAAUCAUCGAAUUUUUGAACGCAUAUUGCACUCUCUGGUAUUCCGGAGAGUAUGCCUGUUUGAGGGUCAGUUAAUUAAAACUCGGGGUUGUUACCACCUUUUAGUGGUGGCGCUCCGGACUUGAGUCGUCUUACCUUCGGGUUAAGUGACUUAAAAUUUUUGUAUGAUAUCUAACGUAUUUAAAUUUAUUUGGUACGUUCGUAAUAUCACAUAUUAGGUGCGGUCAUUCACAUGAUUUCGCGUCUAUAAUUUUUCAUUAUUUGACCUCAAAUCAGGUAAGAAUACCCGCUGAACUUAAG